rfam:[Clostridium] celerecrescens strain 152B rep_c88, whole genome shotgun sequence.
UCUGGUGCCGAUGCGCUUAGGGGAGACACCCGUUCCCAUCCCGAACACGAUGGUUAAGACUUAAGCGGCCGAUGGUACUAUGCUGGAGACGGCAUGGGAGAGCAGGUGGGUGCCAGAU